AGUUUGAUCCUGGCUCAGGAUGAACGCUAGCGAUAGGCCUAACACAUGCAAGUCGAGGGGCAGCACAUGAGUAGCAAUACGAUGGUGGCGACCGGCGCACGGGUGAGUAACACGUAUGCAACCUACCUCUAACAGGGGGAUAACCCGUUGAAAGACGGACUAAUACCCCAUAAUACAGGGGCUCCGCAUGGAGAUAUUUGUUAAAGAUUUUAUCGGUUAGAGAUGGGCAUGCGUUCCAUUAGCUAGUUGGUGAGGUAACGGCUCACCAAGGCGACGAUGGAUAGGGGAACUGAGAGGUUUAUCCCCCACACUGGAACUGAGACACGGUCCAGACUCCUACGGGAGGCAGCAGUGAGGAAUAUUGGUCAAUGGAGGCAACUCUGAACCAGCCAAGUCGCGUGAAGGAUGAAGGUCUUAUGGAUUGUAAACUUCUUUUGCAGGGGAAUAAAUAGCGGUACGUGUACCGUUUUGCAUGUACCCUGCGAAUAAGGAUCGGCUAACUCCGUGCCAGCAGCCGCGGUAAUACGGAGGAUCCGAGCGUUAUCCGGAUUUAUUGGGUUUAAAGGGUGCGCAGGCGGGAGAUUAAGUCGGCGGUGAAAUUUUGCAGCUCAACUGUAAAAGUGCCUUCGAUACUGGUUUCCUUGAGUGUGGAUGAAGUAGGCGGAAUUUGUGGUGUAGCGGUGAAAUGCUUAGAUAUCACGAGGAACUCCGAUUGCGCAGGCAGCUUACUAAACCACUACUGACGCUCAGGCACGAAGGCGUGGGGAUCAAACAGGAUUAGAUACCCUGGUAGUCCACGCAGUAAACG
rnacentral:rRNA from 1 species